GACCGGCGCGACGGUGAGUAACACGUAUCCAACCUGCCGAUGACUCGGGGAUAGCCUUUCGAAAGAAAGAUUAAUACCCGAUGGCAUAGUUCUUCCGCAUGGUGGAACUAUUAAAGAAUUUCGGUCAUCGAUGGGGAUGCGUUCCAUUAGGUUGUUGGCGGGGUAACGGCCCACCAAGCCUUCGAUGGAUAGGGGUUCUGAGAGGAAGGUCCCCCACAUUGGAACUGAGACACGGUCCAA
rnacentral:rRNA from 1 species